rnacentral:rRNA from 1 species
GACGAACCGUGCGAACGUUGUUCGGAUUCACUGGGCUUAAAGGGCGCGUAGGCGGGCGGUCAAGUCAGGGGUGAAAUCUUUCGGCCUAACCGGAAAAGGGCCUCUGAUACUGGCCGUCUCGAGGGAGGUAGGGGCAUGCGGAACUUCCGGUGGAGCGGUGAAAUGCGUAGAUAUCGGAAGGAACGCCGGUGGCGAAAGCGGCGUGCUGGACCUCUUCGUGACGCUGA